UACGGAAGGCAGCAGUGGGGAAUAUUGCACAAUGGGCGCAAGCCUGAUGCAGCCAUGCUGCGUGUAUGAAGAAGGCCUUCGGGUUGUAAAGUACUUUCAGUCGUGAGGAAGGUGUUAAGGUUAAUAACCUUAGCAAUUGACGUUAGCGACAGAAGAAGCACCGGCUAACUCCGUGCCAGCAGCCGCGGUAAUACGGAGGGUGCGAGCGUUAAUCGGAAUUACUGGGCGUAAAGGGCACGCAGGCGGUUAAUUAAGUUGGAUGUGAAAUCCCCGGGCUUAACCUGGGAAUGGCAUUCAAGACUGGUUAGCUAGAGUCUUGUAGAGGGGGUAGAAUUCCAUGUGUAGCGGUGAAAUGCGUAGAGAUGUGGAGGAAUACCGGUGGCGAAGGCGGCCCCUGGGACAAAGGACUGACGCUCAUGUGCGAAAGCGUGGGGAGCAAACAGGAUUAGAUACC
rnacentral:rRNA from 1 species